rnacentral:rRNA from 1 species
GUAGGUGGCAAGCGUUGUCCGGAAUUAUUGGGCGUAAAGCGCGCGCAGGCGGUUCUUUAAGUCUGAUGUGAAAGCCCACGGCUCAACCGUGGAGGGUCAUUGGAAACUGGAGAACUUGAGUACAGAAGAGGAAAGCGGAAUUUCCACGUGUAGCGGUGAAAUGCGUAGAGAUGUGGAGGAACACCAGUGGCGAAGGCGGCUUUUCUGGUCUGUAACUGACGCUGAGGCGCGAAAGCGUGGGGAGCAAACAGGGAUUAGAUACCCUGGUAGUCCACGCCGUAAACGAUGAGUGCUAAGUGUUAGGGGGUUUCCCGCCCCCUUAGUGCUGCAGCUAACGCAUUAAGCACUCCGCCUGGGGAGUACGGCCGCAAGGCUG